UAGCCAUCGUUACUACAACAAAAAAGAAUGGAGGAACAAAACUAAAAUUGAAUUUGGGGGAGAGGAUGAAAAGGAGCAGCUUAUCCGAUUCCCCUGAAGCGAUUAUGUUGUUGUUUCCCUCUUAGUCAUCAGCCUUCUUCUCCGAUCGUCAACCUCCGGAGAGCUUUCUUCGGCGGUUUCUUCUCUGUUUUCUACUUGAGGCUUCUCCUUCUCCUCUUGUUUACUCUCCCCAAAUUCUUUGGAAUACGUUUUCUCAUGAGAUUCUCUGUUUUCUACUUGAGGUAUGGAGAGGAAUCUGCUUCUCACGUUUUUUGGCUAUGGUGUUUUUUGUUUGUCUUCUUUUUAAUUUCCGUUUGCUUUUUUUCUCUGUUACUGUAACUUAAGAAAGCAAAAGACGCCCUUAGACCUUAGUCUCUAGGCGAAUCGGAAUUGGAUUGUUGAUUUUGGGUUAAAAUGUGAAUUCACUUUUUUACUUUGUGUGAAAUUGUUAACUAUAGUUUCAGUGAAUGAGCUCUUUCUGGUUUGUGCAGGCAUUUGAUGAUGCUAUUGUUGAGUUGUUUUUCCUUUGUUUUAAAUUCUUCUCAUAUAUGAUUCUUAAUUUUGAAAUUAUAUAAAUUGAAAUUCAAUAAAACUAUACAUAUAUUAGUGAUUAGUGAUUACCGAUUUUACAAGAAAAAAAAAAUGACCAAGGAGUUGGCUGGUCCGAUUCCAUUUACCAGAACCUUUAUUGUGUUUUAAACACUUCCCAGUUUCACUCUCACUGGAUUGGAGAAAUGAACACAGUCCCUUGGAUUCUAUGGCGCCUUUGGAAAAGUAGAAAUGAUCUUGCUUUUUAGGGGAAGGACCAUAAUGCUCAAGAUUUAGUCCGGACAGCGGAAGAAGAUGAAAGAGAAUGGAGGAAGGUCAGCAAGGAAUCUCAACCCACUGCACAUGCGUCAGGUAUAAUACCAACUACGGGUAGAGGAGGCUGGCAAAAACCUCUAAAUCAAUUGGUUAAGUGUAAUAGUGAUGGAACAUGGAACGCUGAGAGUGAACUGCGGUAUAGGCUGGGUGCUAAGGAACUCAGAGGCAAAGGCAUUAUGGAUGGGUGCUCGUGCCAUACCCAGAACCAAAUCAGUAUUGGAGACAGAGCUUGAAGCUCUCAGGUGGGCAGUCCUCUCUAUGUCUAAUUCAACUACAGAAAAGUAAUCUUUUAAAUCAGACUCGCAGCAUCUGGUGUCUAUCUUCAAUCAAGGAACAAAUGUACCUCAAAGUGACCCAAUUAUUUAAGAUAUCCGACACCUACUCCAGCAUUUCGAGGAAUCAAAACUAGUUUUCACUGUCAUGAAGGGGAACAUGGUGGCUGAUAGAAUUGCUAAUGAAGCCCAUUCUUUUACGAAUUAUGUUCCUGUUCCUAAGCUUUAUUCUAUUAUGCCUAACUGGAUUAAUUCUCAUGUGAUUGCAGACCAGUUGUAAAAACUUGGUAUCGUUGUUGGUUAAUAAUAUGAAGUUGUUGA